rnacentral:rRNA from 1 species
UACGUAGGUGGCAAGCGUUAUCCGGAAUUACUGGGCGUAAAGCGUGCGCAGGCGGUGAUGUAAGACAGAUGUGAAAUCCCCGGGCUUAACCUGGGAACUGCAUUUGUGACUGCAAGGCUGGAGUACGGUAGAGGGGGAUGGAAUUCCGCGUGUAGCAGUGAAAUGCGUAGAUAUGCGGAGGAACACCGAUGGCGAAGGCAAUCCCCUGGACCUGUACUGACGCUCAUGCACGAAAGCGUGGGGAGCAAACAGG